AACUUUAGGGGUGCAUUUUAAAUUGUGCUGAGAAAUACCCUUUGAACCUGAUGUUGUUAAUACAACCGUAGGGAAAAGUAGAAU
rnacentral:ncRNA from 1 species